AGGUAUUGCCUCAGUACGGCGAGUGAAGCGGCAAAAGCUCAAAUUUGAAAUCUAGCACUUUCAGUGUUCGAGUUGUAAUUUGAAGAAGGUAACUUUGGUUUUGGCUCUUGUCUAUGUUCCUUGGAACAGGACGUCACAGAGGGUGAGAAUCCCGUGCGAUGAGAUGCCCAAUUCCAUGUAAAGUGCUUUCGAAGAGUCGAGUUGUUUGGGAAUGCAGCUCUAAGUGGGUGGUAAAUUCCAUCUAAAGCUAAAUAUUGGCGAGAGACCGAUAGCGAACAAGUACAGUGAUGGAAAGAUGAAAAGAACUUUGAAAAGAGAGUGAAAAAGUACGUGAAAUUGUUGAAAGGGAAGGGCUUGAGAUCAGACUUGGUAUUUUGCGUUCCCUUCCUUUUUGGUUGGGUUCCUCGCAGUUUACUGGGCCAGCAUCGGUUUGGAUGGUAGGAUAAUGACAUUGGAAUGUAGCUUUACUUCGGUGAAGUGUUAUAGACUUUGUUGAUACUGCCUAUCUAGACCGAGGACUGCGUCUUUGAC
rnacentral:rRNA from 1 species